UGCUUUGAAGAAAGCUUCUUUGAACCCUUUUCCUUCUGAUGACUAAGAAGGG
rnacentral:snoRNA from 1 species